GUGGGGAAUAUUGGACAAUGGGCGAAAGCCUGAUCCAGCCAUGCCGCGUGUGUGAAGAAGGUCUUCGGAUUGUAAAGCACUUUAAGUUGGGAGGAAGGGCAGUAAGUUAAUACCUUGCUGUUUUGACGUUACCGACAGAAUAAGCACCGGCUAACUUCGUGCCAGCAGCCGCGGUAAUACGAAGGGUGCAAGCGUUAAUCGGAAUUACUGGGCGUAAAGCGCGCGUAGGUGGUUUUGUAAGUUGGAGGUGAAAUCCCCGGGCUCAACCUGGGAACUGCAUCCAAUACUGCCAGGCUAGAGUACGGUAGAGGGGGGUAGAAUUCCACGUGUAGCGGUGAAAUGCGUAGAGAUGUGGAGGAAUACCAGUGGCGAAGGCGGCCCCCUGGAUCGAUACUGACGCUGAGGUGCGAAAGCGUGGGGAGCAAACAGGAUUAGAUACCCCUGUAGUCC
rnacentral:rRNA from 1 species